GUUCCUCUCCCAUCUCUCACGUCACACCUCUCACUCUCUCCCUUUUCACUUCAGUCACUCACUCACAUCUCUACACACUCAGCAGGUUUGCCGCACCUCUCAAACUCUCUUUCUCUCCCAUAGCUCUCUCAUCCCUCUUUCCCUUUAAGUGAACAUCACCAUCACCACUCCAAAGCUCCACCAACACCUUCAAAGUUCUCCGAAAAAUUAUCUAGAACCCUCUGCAACUCCUUGGUGGUGCCACACUCAGACAAAAACACGGUUUCCUAUUUCGGCGUUCAACGAAUUUCGCCGAAUUGAAACUUCUCCGGCCACGGAUUUUCUAUGCCAAGCCUAGCCAAACCUUGUUGAUUUGGUCAAGUUUGAAGGUGUAAAAUGACUCCCCGUAACCCCUAGGCCAUGGAUUUGAGCUUGCAUGCUCAAAUCCACUUCAAAAUCAACGAAAACGAAGAACUCCAACUUGGGCCGUCACUUUCAGGGCAUUUUCCGACAAGCUUUGGCCAUCUUUUGGCCGUGAAAUGGGUAUAAUCUUAUUCCUCUCGUCCUAAGCUUCGUUUUGAUAUAUUAUGGGUUAAAUUUGAUUGUGUAACAGCUCCGAACGGGGCAUUUGAAUUUCUUUCCAAAUUUUUGAUGAAAAUUCUGUUCGUGAGCAAACUAAAGGAAAUUAGGUUUAUUACAUUAAUUAUUAUUAGUUCAGUGAUUAGUGUAGUGGUUUUUACACUAACACCCCUUGAGGUUUAUCGUGUUUUCACAAAAUCCCUUCAUGUUUGAAACGUAACACUAACACCUUUUGAGGUUCUAAUUCAAUUCCGCAUAACCCAUUUAAGGCUAACAUCACCUUAAAAUAAUUUCUUAAAGACAAAUUUUCCCUAAUUAUUAAUUACUUUAUGAAAAACCUUUAUAAAUAAAUAGAAUAAAAAUUCAAAUUAAAAUCUUACAUUAAACAAUAAAAGUAAAUAAAAGAAAAUUGAAGAAAUCUUGUUACCUUCUUCCUCUAUGCUGUUAAUUCAUAUCCCAAUCCUCUUUUCUUAAUUGGAAAAACCCUAGUAGAACAAAUCUUUCUCCUGUUAAAUCCUUUGGGCAUUUCAGAGUAGGAAUGUGGUCAGGUAAUUUCUUCCAAGAAGCCAAAUCAGGUACUCUUCUCCAUGUUUGAAAUCAGGGCUUUCUUCCAUAUUGUUUUCUCGUCAAAAUUCGUUUCGGUUUGGGUGAACAAGGAGUGAAGGAGGUUGACGAAGAGAUGGGAGGUGGCGAUUUGAGGACAAGAACAAAAAAAAAAAAAUUGAGAGAAAGAUCCGAAGCUGCAUAAGUGGCUUUCUAUUUUUAGUAUUAUUUUAUUUUAUUUUAUUUUUUUAUUUUUUUAUGGUUAAUGUAUGUUUUUGAAGUCGAACAAAAAAAAAGUAUUUCCUUUUAUUGGUUAUUAUUAUAUGUAUUUCUAAAAAACCUUUUUUUAUUUCUUUAAAGUAAUUAAUAGCGUGGUAAAUUUGUCUUUAAGAAAUUAUUUUAAGGUGAUGUCAGCUUUGAAGGGGUUAUGUGAAGGUGAAUCAGAACCUCAAUGGGUGUCAGUGUUUUGUUUCAAACGUGAUGGGGUUUUGUGAAAACGCGAUAAACUUGAGGGGUGUUAGUGUAAUUAACCUUAGUAAUUUUUCGUAUAGAAGAGGACCACCUGGAGGAGCGCUGUUGGCAGAAUAGUUGGAUGGUUACAACCUACAUGUAUCUAUGAGUGGGUCUUUUCGUUUUUACAUAUAUAUAUAUAUAUAUAUAUAUAUGCAUAUGUGAUUUUUCCCAACAACUACCUUUAUAUACUAUGAUGUGACAUGACAUGUUUAGCUUUACAAAUAGGCUUUUCAUACACUUUAUGUUUUUAAUAUUAUUUGUGAGCAUAAACUUGUGGCAUGACAUCCUUGCAUUUUAUCUGCUCAUUAUUACAUGUUUGCACGGUGUCUCUUAGUUAUUUGUACUAUCCUGGGCCAAGGACCAGCUUCACAUGUAGUUCACAUGCACCGUUUACAUUUGCUUUGGAUCUAGAGUUAAGUGUUAGUCUAUCCUUUUGUGUGAUGUUUUGGGCUCGUUUGUAAUGCGACUAGCGUACCUCACGUGAUGUAGUAUUAGAAUGUAAAACCUACGCCCAGCCUCUUCCAUUGUUUGAAUAUCUCUGUAAUGGACUUGUGUGCUUACAUAAAUAAUGAGCAUUGAUUUCUUAUAAUAACGAAUUGAGAUUUGAUGUUGAGAUACCUUGUUGUUGUGCUUACAUCCUUUAGCUCACUUGUGCUGCAAAGUACCUAUUACAUACUAUUAUUAUAUAUUUUUAGGAAACCAUAUACUUUUUUUACAGCGAGGGGUUACACUUUUCGAAAAGGUUUUACAAAGCUCUAUUUUUAGGCCCACUCACCCUUGUUUUUGGCCUAUCCAGGAUUUUAGUGGCAGAGGUUUCGUGACGAUGAGGAUUGUUGGUAAAAACUGUUAUGUAGGAGAGUUCUUCUUUUGGUAUAAAUGUCCUUACUCUUCUUUUACUGCAAUUUAUCUAUGCUUAGGCAUCACUUGUGUGAUAUAGGUUCAAUCUCGCUCACAUGCGUACUCUAAACUAGUCACUUUUAGGUUUUAAUUGAUUCACUUUUUCCACAUCACUACACUUUAUGGCUUCGUUACCUUCCAGGUGUCGGCCAGCACAUCGCGAUUCAGGUGUCUAGGUGGACAAUCCAGGUUUUGAACCAUUUCUCAUUCCAAGAAAGCCGAAAGGAAGGAAAGAGAUUGAUCCAAGCAAAUUGUCUAAUUCAUAAAUGAAUUGUCGAAAACCUAUACCCGAGAUUACGAUGAAAAUUUCACAAAACUAACUUCUG